CAUUUUAGAUGCCUCCUGGCCUCCCCUUCCCAGGAGCACAGCUAUGACCUUAGGUACUCCUUCCGAAAAGAACUUGUUUAACUAAAGGUAAGUGUACCUCAUCCUCACCAUGGCCUCCUUCCACUGGGGAAGCAGAUAGCGCAGAAAAAAGAACACACCCAUUCCCCACAUACCUUCACACUCGUCACAUACCUGCUACGUGAGAUGUGCAAAGCUGAAUUCAGGGAAUGCUCAGUAGUUACAUAACAGUGCCACUAAAGGCAAUUGUUUUCAGUGAUUUCCAUCGAGCUGGGUUCUGCAAAGAUCCACAGCACUUUCCGGUUGCAUGCUGGGCACUUUUGGAAGCUGCAGUCAAUUCUGGAGGCCACCAGGGCACCAUUAGCACAUAGCAGCAAUUAUUGACUAAAUGGUGCUCUGGUUCCAUGCCUUCCAAGGGGGCCCACUUAGAGGCAGGGUGGAGUUGCUUAGGGCCUUUUUUUUUUUUUUUUUUUGUAGACGGAGUUUUGCUCUUGUUGCCCAAGCUGGAGUGCAAUGGUGCGAUCUUCGCUUACUGCAACCUCUGCUUCCUGGGUUCAAGUGAUUCCCCUGCCUCAGCCUCCCGAGUAGCAGGGAUUACAGGUGCGUGCUACCAUGCCAGGCUAAUUUUUUGUAUCUUUAGUAGAGACAGGAGUUUCACCAUGUUGGCCAGGCUAGUCUUAAACUCCUGACCUCAUGAUCUGCCUGGCUUGACCUCCCAAAGUGUUGGGAUUACAGGCAUGAGCCGUUGCACCUGGCCAGGGUGUGUCUUAUUGAAAUUGAACAAAAUACCUAAUUUCUAGAGCGUAUAAGAGAAGUUUAAAAUGCUUUAUGGAUGUGUUGUUUUGACAGCAAAAUAUCUACUCAGAAUCCUAUAGCUAUUUCAAAAUCCAAGUAACUUAGAAAAAAAGGAAAAAGAAAACCUAUAUAGUCAAAUCUUUUGGUGAUUUUGUAUUCAAUGACUGAAACUUCCCAGUGAUUAUUGGGCUUUUUAGCUGGAAUUGAACUUGAAUCGGGGCAGAGCAGCACAAUGCUUCAGAACUUCAGCGACUCUGAGCCCUGGUUCUGCAAUGACCUGCCAAGUAGCUUUAGUCUACUUGACUGCUCUGAACCUUAAUUUUCUCACCUGUAUGGGAAUCAUAGACUCUACUUUAUGAGGCUGACGUAAGCAUUACAUGAAAUUUUGUAUACUUAUACAUAAUGUGCUUAGCACCGAAUACUUGGUGACAGCAGAUGCCCAAUGAGAGUUAUCACAGAUAUUAUUUCAGAAUCGUGAAGAGUCAGAAGCCACCAAAUUCUUGAUUUCUGUCAAUAAACUGAUAUUCAUAUUCUGUUGAUUUUUUUUGAUGCAUUUGUAAAAUAGGGAAACAAGAGCUGUAUGACUUCUAGCUAUGUCUGGUCAUGAAAUAGCAACCAGGAAUAAGGCCACAUGAUGUUUCUGAUGAACACUUCCCCCUGCCCUUUUUUUUUUUUUUUCAGAUGGAGCCUCGCUCUGUCACCCAGGCUGGAGUGCAGUGGCACAAUCUCGGGUCACUGCAACCUCCGCCCCCCAGCUUCAAGCGAUUCUCCUGUCUCAGCCUCCCGAGUAGCUAGGAUUACAGGUGCACGCCACCAGGCCUGGCUAAUUUUUAUAUUUUUAGUAGAGAUGGGAUUUUGCCUUGUUGGCCAGGCUGGUCUCAAACUCCUGACCUCAGGUGACCCAUCCACCUUGGCCUCCCAAAGUGCUGGGACUACAGGUGUGAGCCACCAUGCCUGGUCCCCCACUUGUUGAUUUUGCAGAAAAGAUAGCUGUGUUACAACCUGUCCUAAGGUCAGGUAUGAAUACUUGUGCUUCUUUCUUGGCUCCCCAAGCCAGAGGGCAUUCCUAUGCCCAGGUGAGAGAGCACGGAGUGUUACUUUGGCAGCACAGUCAGUUACCAGAGGUAGGAAAAGCAAAGGCCAGGCAGGACAUGAGGGGCCCUUGCACUGGCUGGUUCUCCCUGCCUUCACCACCCUCCAGGUGAAUGACUGGGUGAAUAAUGAUUGACUGAGGAGGUAAUGAAUAAUUUAUGGACACUGCUGGACCUCAGUCUCCUCAUCUGAAAGAUGAGUGGUUGGAGAAGUUUAAUGGUUUUCAAAUGCUUUUUUUUUCAGUCUUCAAAUAAGUGUUUACGUAGAAGCACCAUAUCUGAAACAGGUGACAGUGGACCAGUCUGAAUGAAAUGAGGGUUGGCAGGCCUGAGCUCCAAAACCUUCUGAUUGCCCAAGCCCUCCUUGUCUUGCUUGGAUUAUCUCCACACAAAUGGAGAAACUGGACAAGGUGGUCAUGGAGGUCCCUGAAAGCUCAAAGACUUUCUCAUUCCAGGAUUCCCCAUGUUCAUAUGCCAGCAUGGCAUGGGGGUGCUCUGUAGUCAAGCAGGGUCCUUUGGGGGGCUUAGGGAUGGAGCCAGGAAAUGGCUCUGGGACUCAGCGGGUGUCCAGAGUCUCAUCAGCAGGGUUUCUUUACUUUCACUGAGUGGCUGGUGCCUGCACACUGAGUUUUGCAGGCUUACUCUCACAGAGUGAGCUUCCUGCAGGCCCCCCACUGCAACCCCUUUCCUUCCUGGAGCUGUGUGCUGACUGGUGCGUGAGCACCCCAGGCCCUCUCCCCAUGCUGCUGAUGGUCAGCUUUCUCUGCACGCUCGUGGUUGCCACAGUCAACGCUGAUAAAAUUGCUGAUGCAGAUUGCCUGCCCAGCUGCGAGUGCUGGCACGGGACCAGCAGCCCAGACGGUCACUGGAAGUGGUUGGGCUGAUUAUUGGCAUCAUCUCCAUUGUCCUACUCGGUUCUUAAAGGCAUAUGGACUUGCCUCACUCCUACAGCAAAUGACGGCAUGGGCAAAGAGGGGCAACAGACCCACCCUGAAGACACUCCUCAUCUGGUUGACUUGGCAGGGUUAAGGGAAAAAGAUGUGAUGACUAGGAGCUGAGAGCUUAGUGGUUCUGCCAGAGCUGCAGAGUCUUUGUUGGCCUCAGGGUGGGACCUCUCACAUCUCUGUCAGCUUUUCACGGACACCAACCUGUUAUGAUUCAUUUCACCUGUCCUGAGCACUAGCAAGAAAAAUUCGCUGUAGCUUGUGAUGUAUUAUUCUGGAUUUCUCAACUCAUUCAUUUGUUCAUUCAUUCACUAUACCAUUACUGUCUAUUAUAAGGGGGGCACAAUGGUAGGUGCUGGGAAUAAAAACGAUGUUUAACGUUU
rnacentral:lncRNA from 10 species